rnacentral:lncRNA from 1 species
GCAUAUUUAAAUCACCACAGCCCCUGAGUGAUCUACCUGAGAGUCAUCUCCCCAGCUGUCAGGCGAUCACUUGGACCUGCGCCUCCUUGGAGGGACCUUAUUCUCUUUGAGGCCAUCCCUGGAGAGAGUUGAGGUGGCAUUUGGAGCCAGAAAGAGAAAGACGUCUGAGGCUCCUGAAGAUGCCCUUCUCAAGCCAGGGCAUUGUAUGUGACCCUGUUGGACCUCAGAGAGCCAAGCAGCAGCAGGUAACCAAGUGAUGGGGCUGAAGGCAGUUGCUGGGGGAGAAUGGCCACAUGCUGCUGUGUCUGCUGGAGACAGAGAAACAAAGAGAAACAAAGAAGGGAGCCUUUCAGGAGAGAAGCCAGCACUGUGCAAGGGUCCUGGGGCAGACGGGAGCAGGGCGAUGCCUGUGCUUAUCUGGACCUCACUUCUCCUUGUGGCAAAGGAAAAGAAAGGGAAGGAUCCUGUCACUUGCCUGAGGCUCCUGUGAAAAUUUUGCCGGAGAUGUGUUAGUUUCUAAAUACAGGGGUGCUGCUGGACCAGGGUUUCUUCCCUCCAGUCUUCCACGUAAACCCAACCUGAGCUUGAAUUUUCCUUCAUCUUCAGAGCUGUGUGUCCUCUGGUGAUAAAUGCAAAGGUACCCUGCCGUAUAAUUUUAUGUCAGCUCGACACAGGCUAGAGUCAUCUGAGAGACUGGAACUCCAAUUGAGAAAAUUCCUCCAUUA